UUUACAAUUUUUUUUUUUUUUUGCCUCCUUAAGUUUAUGCAAUACGCACAUAUAUAUAUACAUGCUAGAACUCUCCCAAACGUUAUGUGCCGUAGCACUCGCAACGUUUGAUAUGACAAAAUUCCAUAAGAUAUAGUAUAACUUGAACACACUAAGAUAUAUAUAUAUAUAUAUAUAUAUAUACAUUUGCAUACACAUACACAUACACAUACACAUACACAUACGCGAAUUUGAGGACCUACAAACAACAAAAUGGACCUAGCGAAAUUGCAAAAACGAGUGGAAAAAGAAAAUAACAACCGAAUAAACAUAACUAAAAUAAAAUUCCAAAAAUGCUUAUGCCUUUUUAACAACUAUUCUAAAUGCUAUGUUAACAUUAAGCAAAGGUCUAUCAUAGACAUCGCAAGACAUGAUAAGAUAUAUGGUAAUGAUAACAUUAAUUUGAAUAAAGAAAAAAGGCGUGACAAGAAUAAGGAAAGUAGUUUAGAAUUUACAUAUCCAUAUAGAUAUGAACAGAACCGCAACAUUUUUUUAAUUAUUAACAGUAAAAAUAUUAACUCACGUAAUAGUUAUAUAUAUAACAAUGAUAUUAUAUAUAUNNNNNNNNNNNNNNNNNNNNNNNNNNNNNNNNNNNNNNNNNNNNNNNNNNNNNNNNNNNNNNNNNNNNNNNNNNNNNNNNNNNNNNNNNNNNNNNNNNNNAAAAAAAAAAAAAAAAAAAAAAAAAAAAAAAUCAAAGGCUCUAACAGAAACAGAAGUAAAAACGACUUAUACGACGAUAAUGAUUCCACAGAUUCAAAUAGUAGCUUAGAAACUAACAGAACAAAUGAAGAACACAAUAAAAAUCCCUUGUAUAAUAGUACUAUAUUCGAAACUAGUAAUACGAAUUUGUGUGACGCUUUAGAAAAGAGAAAAAAAAAAAUAAUUAAAAGAAGUAGUAGUAGUAGUAGUAGUUGUAAUAAUAAUAGCAACAAUAGAUUAAAUAUUUCAAAAAAAGAAAAAAAUAUAAUUUAUUCAGAUGAUGAUUCAGAUAAUCAUUACGAACAUAUAUUUACACAUAUCAAUUCGAGUUUAUAUUUUUUAAGCAUAUCUAAUUCACAUAUAGAAAAAGAAACUAAUUUAUAUAUUCAAAAUGAAAAAUAUAUUAAUUAUACAGAUAUAGCAUUUAGAAAAUUAAAAUUUAAUAAAAAAAUGUUUAUGAGUUUAGAUACGUACAACUCUUGGGUUAUUAUAAAAAAAAAUAUUUUAUUAAAUGAAUAUUUGAGUUUGUUAAAAAAAAAUAAUUUAGUUGAUAUAAAUGAUGUGAUAUAUGACUUGGUAAAUAUGUCUGAUCAAAUAUGUAACUGCCAUACCAUGAUAUAUGUAAAUGACGAUUUUAUUUUAAUUAAUAAUAAAACUAAAGAAAUAUUGGGUGUUAAAAAAAUUGACGAAAGUUUAAAUAAUAAUAAUAAUGAUAACAUUAAUGAAGAGAGUAAUGACAAUGACAAUACGGAUGUUAUAAACGAAAAAAAAAAAAAAAAAAAAAAAGUAUAUGUAAACAAAAAUGAAAAAAGUAGUUAUAGUAAUAACAGCGAAGCAGAUAUAUACAAAUUAGUACUAAUAAAAAAAAUAAACAUAAAUUAUUUAUUUAAUAGUACUAAAACCAAUAUAAAUAUUAUUUUUUCUUUUCAUAAUGUAUGNNNNNNNNNNNNNNNNNNNNNNNNNNNNNNNNNNNNNNNNNNNNNNNNNNNNNNNNNNNNNNNNNNNNNNNNNNNNNNNNNNNNNNNNNNNNNNNNNNNNUAUAAUUAUAACUUAAGUAAAGACAGUAUUAUACUUAAUAAUGUUAUGUAUAAUACAGUUGCUUAUAAUACUAACUCCAGUAACUCUUAUCUGUAUAAUAAUAACAUUAUCAGUCAUAACCCGAUAGGAACAGACGAGUCGAAUGCAUUAGCAAACAACAAAUUUACUGACUUGCAACUGAUGAAUAAUAAUGAUUUGGCUUACUUUAAUAAUUAUAUUACUCAAAAAAUAGUAAGCAAUUAUAACACAUAUAGCUUAUAUAUAAAAGAAUGUUUAUUCAUUAUUGAUAUACUUUACAUACUAAAUAACAGUUACGGUAAUUUGAUAUAUAUAAAAGAGUAUUAUCAAUACGACCACACUAUUUAUUACACAAAUGUUGAAAAUAUUUUAAAAACCAAGAAGAAAAAAAAAAACAAAAAAAACAAAAAAAACAAAAAAAACAAAAAAAAAACAAAAAAAAAAUUUAAUAAAGGAAACGACAAUGGCAUUAGUAACGACAGUGGCAUUAGUAACGGCAGUGGCAUUAGUAACGAUGACAAAAGCGAAACUAGCAGUAACAAUUCUAUUUGUUCAUUAACCUCUUCAUCGUAUAGUGAAAGUAACAAACAUACAGGCACAUCAUCACUAACAGAUUCGGGAAGUAAUAGCUCAACAUGCAGCACAUACGACAGCUCUAACGAAUCUGACAUUACUACCAUUUGGACUAAAAACUACGUUAAUUAUAAUAAAAAACAAUUCAAUAAAAGUGAGAAACAAUUUUUUAAAAAUUUAGAUAAUGAUUUAAUUUAUAUAAUUCCGAAGUAUAAAAUUGUGUGUCACCCAUGUUUGUUUAAUAAUAACAAUAGCAAUGUCAAUAGCAAUGUCAAUUGCAAUGUCAAUUGCAAUGACAAACAAAACAAUAAUAGUAAUGUCGAAAUCACAAAAGAGAUUAUAAAAUUAGGUAUAUAUCUAAGAAGGAUACAAAAGUUUAUCGAAAUAAAUAAAAGAAGUCAAGUUUGCAACUCCACUUUUGAUAUUUUUUGUUGUUGCUUAUAUAAUAUUUGUUUACAUAUAUUUAAUCACAUUAAUAAGUUAGAUGAAAAUGUAAGAAAUAUAUUUAAUUUUACUAAGGUUAAUAUGCACGAAAAUGCUAAUAGUAAUGAUAAACAAAAAAAUGACCUCGCUUUAUGUCUUUUUAAUGAAAAAAGCUUAUCUACAUGUACCGACCCGGAAGAAAAGAAAAUAUUUUUUAGUAUAAACAAUCUAUUUGAUAAAAACAUUCAAGACUUUAAUAUGUUUUUUAAUAUUAAUAUAGAAAAGACACAAGACAUAUCUUUAUACAAAAUCAAAAUUACCAUUUUACCUUUAAUACAUAUAACUGAGUUAUUAAACAAAAUUAUAAAUAAAAUUAUAAAAAAAAGAAAAAUGAAUAACUCAAAAUUUUUGAUAGAUCUUAUAUAUAAACUACAAGAAUAUUUAAAUGCAGAUGAUGUUAAUAAAACUGUACUUUUAUAUCUAUUAAAAAAUAUAACAACACCUCUUUUUGAUUUUAUUAAACAUUAUAUAUUUAAUGGAAAAGUAUGUGAUACGUAUAAUGAAUUUUUUAUACAUGAAAAUAAACACAUAACACCAUAUUACAAACAACAUAAUCACAUAUCAUUAUAUUAUAAUAAUAUUUAUAAAUAUAUUUUUAAAAAAUAUAUUGAUUUGUCGACAAACUAUUGGGGAGCUAAAUAUAUUCUACUAUAUAAAAAAGUACCUAUAUUUUUAAAAAAAAUAUGUAAUCAAAUUUUUAUUACUGGAAAGUAUAUUGAUGUGUUGUUAGCUUGUUCAAAGUUGUUUACUAUAAAUAACCAAAGACGGAUCAAAAGUGGUCACGUGGGCACUAAUUUUGGCACAAAUUUAGGCACAAAUUUAGGCACAAAUUUAGGCACAAAUUUAGGCACAAAUUUAGGCACAAAUUUAGGCACAAAUUUUGGAACAAAUUUUGGUGGAGACUAUAACACUACAACUACCAACUCGAUAUCACAUAACGAUCGUUUUUCUCAAAAUGAUCAACAAAUAUCUACAGGAGACUGGAACAGAAAAAACGUUUCUAACAAUACAUUCAACUAUUAUUCAAAUAUGAAUAACGGAAACUAUAACAAUGACGUAUAUUCAUCAAAUAGUUUGCUCAUAAAUAGUGGUAACAAUUUUAUUUGUAAUAAUCCAUAUACAAAUAACAAAUCAAUCACAUAUAAAAAAUCAAACCUAGAUGAAAUUAAUAACUUUUCCACCAAUUUAAAUAACCAACAUAGUAGCAAAACUUGUUAUUUAAUUUAUGAUUGUGAUAGAAAGGUAUAUCAAGACAUUAUACAUAAUCAACAUUUAUACGCAUCCAAACAAAUGUUCGAAUUAUAUAUAAUAAAAAUUGAUAUAACUGAAAAACUAAGACAUCAUUACUUCUUUUUCUUUUUACAAAUUAGUGAUUAUUUGAAAUAUUUUUACAUAUUAGCACAUGAGUAUCUUGAAAUGUUAUAUACAAAUAAAACAAAUCAUAUUUUAAAUAAAUUAAAAAAUUAUUUCGAUAUAUCUUUAAGAUCAUCUCUUCUUUAUAAUUUAAAAUAUAGAACAGAUUAUAACAUCGGAAUGUCUGAUAUACCAAAUAUAAAUGAUAAUGUCAAUUUAAUAAUUAAUUUAAAAUAUUGGAAUAUGACAAAUGAACAGAAUGACCAGAAUGACCAGAAUGACCAGAAUGACCAGAGUGACCGGAAUAACCAGAAUGACCAGAGUGACCGGAAUGACCAGAGUGACCAGUAUAACAAUAACAAAACUGAAUAUGGUUUAGAAGAAAAUCAAAUGUAUGAUUGUGAUAUACAUAAUGUUGGUGCGAAUGCAUAUAAUCGAGCAAAUUAUUAUGGUCGGAAUAGAAAUGGUGGAGAAAAUCAUAAUAUUAGUGGUGGUAACAGUGAUGCUGACGAAGGUUCUGAUGAUGCUGAUGGUGGAGGCGCAUAUCGUAAUGGUGCUAAUGCAAUUAACGACAGUGCAUGCGAAGAUAACACAAAAUAUAAUAUGCUAAGUAAUAAAAAUGCAAAAGAAGUAGCAAAAAAAAGAAGGGUUGUUAAUCUUACAAAGACAAAUCUAACAAACGUACAAACAAACAUCAACGUUGAAAUAUACAAAGGAAUGGUAUUGCUAUAUCAUAAUAUCUUUCCAUAUAACUUAAUUUUUAACAACAUAACCAUUUUUAAAUAUACACUCAUAUUUCGUGUAUUAAAUUAUUGUAAAUAUAUAGAACAUAAAUUAACCGAAGUGUGGAUUAAUCAUAUGUUUUUUAAAAAUAUUGACAUACCAGAUGAAUGUAAAAAUAAUUUAAUGAUAUGUAUAUAUACAAGAGAAUGUAUGAUUCAUUUUUUAAAGUGUUAUAUUUACCAUAUACAAAAUGAUGUUAUAAAAAUGGAGUAUAAUAACAUGCUUGACAAACUAAAAGAAACGUUUAUAUUUGAUGAUAUUAUACAUAUUCAUAAUAAGUAUUUAAAUAACAUAUUAAAAUAUUCUUUUAUAAUAAAUUAUGACAUUAUUAAUUGCAUUUUUAAAAUUAUAUCUAUUGCUCAUAUAUUUACAAGACAUAUACUCAAAUUUAGUUUCAACAGAAAUGAACAAAUUGAAACAAUAACAUCAAAUAGCACUGAUAUUAGUAACACGAAUGGACUAGAUCGAAAUGGUAAUUACAAAAAAAAAAUAAAUAGAGGAUUAUUAUCGCAUAAAAAAUUUAUACAAGAAUUAUUAAUUGAUAAAGCCUAUAUAUCCAUGAUACAUAACACUAUCAAACAUUAUGAUAAACAUUUUAAAAUUUUUUUUUUACUCCUAACUGAAUAUGUAAAUAAUAAUAUAGAUGAUUAUGCACAUAAUUUUUUAAUCAAAUUAGAUUAUAAUUUUUAUUAUACAAAUAAGUAUAAAACUUCUUUUGAUUUACCAUCUAAUAAUGAUAUGGGUGAAGAGUAUAAAACAGGAUCUCCAGAUGUUAAGUCUUAUAAACAAACUACCACUCGACAUGAACAAACUAAAUAUAACAACGUAAAUAUAAAUUAUAAAAACAUUAUCAGUAGUAAUGGUGCUACUAACCCAUCAUCCAAUUAUAAUCAAAUUAAUCCAAAACAAACAAACGCUUAUCAUCAUCCUUCAAAUUAUAAUUCAAAUAACAAAAUGCAAAAUAACUAUCAUUUAAAAAAUUAUGUAAAUAAUACUAAUCAAAAUGAAUUUCCAAAUAAUAACAAUUUCACUAAUGUAAACAUAGAUAUAGAUUUAAAAGUACCUAACACAUACUACUCUAAUAAUCAUAAUAAUAAUGGUAAUAAUAAUAGUAAUAAUAAUAAUAAUAAUAAUCAUAGUACUAACUCUGAGGAACAGUAUGUACAAUUAAGAAACAAUCCUAACCCUGUUAUAAAUCAAUAUAUGAGUAAUCUAUCUUCCACUAACAACGACGUUUUAUAUAAUCAAAUGUCUUUACAAACAAAUAAUUAUAGUAUGAAUUCGCAAUAUCCUGGUGAAAGUCCAGUACAAUUUUCAAACAAAAAAAACAAUUUUUCAUACAUUCAAAGUAAUAAUGAUAAUGAAAGUGCUAAUCACAUGUACUAUUAUAAUAAUAACAAAACAGAUGCUAAUAAUAAUAGUAGUAUCAAUUAUAAACACGACAAAUUAAAAAAAUAUAAUAAAUAUAAUAAUGAAAAUAUAAAUAACAUAACACUCAGCAAUAUUGACUUAAGUGCUAUCGACAAUAGUGCCAUAUAUACUCCUAAAAAUUUUAACUCGUGAGUAGGAGACCAACCAUGUGUGCUUUUCCUGCGUUUACUACUUAUGCUUGUGUGUUAGCACUUGGGCUGUUACGUUUUUUUACAAAUGUACGACACGACUUCUUCCCC
rnacentral:lncRNA from 1 species